CCUACGGGAGGCAGCAGUCGAGAAUUUUUGACAAUGGGGGAAACCCUGAUCGAGCGACGCCGCGUGGAGGAUGAAGGUCUUCGGAUUGUAAACUCCUGUCAUUGGGGAACAAGGUGCAUACGUUAACUGCGUGUGUAUUGAUAGUACCCGAAGAGGAAGGGACGGCUAACUCUGUGCCAGCAGCCGCGGUAAUACAGAGGUCCCAAGCGUUGUUCGGAUUCAUUGGGCGUAAAGGGUGCGUAGGCGGCGCGGUAAGUCGGGUGUGAAAUCUCGGAGCUUAACUCCGAAACUGCAUUCGAUACUGCCGUGCUUGAGGACUGGAGAGGAGACUGGAAUUUACGGUGUAGCGGUGAAAUGCGUAGAUAUCGUAAGGAAGACCAGUGGCGAAGGCGGGUCUCUGAACAGUUCCUGACGCUGAGGCACGAAGGCCAGGGGAGCAAACGGGAUUAGAUACCCCGGUAGUCCUGGCAGUAAACGGUGCACGUUUGGUGUGGGAGGAUUCGACCCCUUCUGCGCCGGAGCUAACGCGUUAGACGUGCCGCCUGGGGAGUACGGUCGCAAGAUUAAAACUCAAAGAAAUUGACGGGGGCCCGCACAAGCGGUGGAGUAUGUGGCUCAAUUCGAUGCAACGCGAAGGACCUUACCAGGCCUUGACAUGCAUCUCUAAGUUGGUGAAAGCCAGCGAGUCCCGCAAGGGACAAUUUGCACAGGUGCUGCAUGGCUGUCGUCAGCUCGUGUCGUGAGAUGUUGGGUUAAGUCCCGCAACGAGCGCAACCCCUGUGAACUGUUGCCACCGAGCCGUGAGGCUCAAGCACUCUGUUCAGACUGCCCCGCUUUAACGGGGAGGAAGGUGGGGACGACGUCAAGUCAGUAUGGCCCUUACGGCCUGGGCUGCACACGUACUACAAUGCCCAGCACAGAACGAUCCAAGACCGCAAGGUGGAGGAAAUCACUAAAACUGGGCCCAGUUCAGAUUGGAGUCUGCAACUCGACUCCAUGAAGCCGGAAUCGCUAGUAAUGGCGUAUCAGCUACGACGCCGUGAAUACGUUCCCGGGCCUUGUACACACCGC
rnacentral:rRNA from 1 species